rnacentral:misc_RNA from 1 species
AUCGUUGCCCGAUGCCUAUUGCAGUUCAAUAGGAAUUUCUAGGGCGAAUGAUGGCUUCCCGUGAGCGUUGUUGCCUCGCGGUUGGUUGAAAAUCGAGUCCUUGGUGGGGUGUGCCAUGAUAGAUGGUGGUCGAGUUAGCACGAUACCGAUCGUGUGCAUGCUCCCCAAAAUAUGGCCUCUAUGACCCACACGCGUCUUUUGACGCACA